rnacentral:rRNA from 1 species
AUUGAACGCUGGCGGCAGGCCUAACACAUGCAAGUCGAGCGAGCGGCGGACGGGUGAGUAAUGUCUGGGAAACUGCCUGAUGGAGGGGGAUAACUACUGGAAACGGUAGCUAAUACCGCAUACCAUCAGAUGUGCCCAGAUGGGAUUAGCUAGUAGGUGGGGUAACGGCUCACCUAGGCGAAGAUCCCUAGCUGGUCUGAGAGGAUGACCAGCCAAACCGGGACCGAGACAAGGUCCAGACUCCGACGGGAGGCAGCAGGGGGGAAUAUUUGACAAUGGGCGCAAGGCUGAUGCAGCCAUGGCGCUGGUGGGAAGAAGGCCUUCGGGUUGUAAAGCACUUUCAGCGGGGAGGCGUUACCCGCAGAAGAAGCACCGGCUAACUCCGUGCCAGCCGCCGCGGUAAUUC